AACAAUUGAUCAUAAAAAUAAUAUAACCUAUCCAUCCAUUCAAAUGACGAAAAUCAUACAAUUGAUCCAAUAAAACAGAAAAUGAAAAAAAUAAAACAGAAAAUGAAAAAAAAUGGGGUGCUGGCAAGCGAGGAAACAAAGUGACCACCAAACAUCACCCCAUGUCCGUGGCACUACCUUCUAACCUGACGAAAAUCAUACAAUUGAUCCAAUAAAAUAGAAAAUGAAAAAAAUAAAACAGAAAAUGAAAAAAAAUGGGGUGCUGCAAGCGAGGAAACAAAGUGACCACCAAACAUCACCCAUGUCCGUGGCACUACCUUCUAACCUGCCUGGAGAUUUAAACAACUCUGAAAUUGACACACACGAAUAGGCAUCGGUGUUUCUUUUAUUCUUUGGGGAAAACACCGGAGAAACCACCCCUAUUCAAUAAUCUUCUGCUCAAAGAAGUGGUUUAGGGUUUAGACCAAAUCGCGUGCAACAUCAGCUCCACACCCCCUGAGUUGCUUCCUCCACUUUUGCCUUCACUUAUAAAGGCUAUAUUUGUAACUCA
rnacentral:lncRNA from 1 species